rnacentral:rRNA from 1 species
AAAUAGAUACCCGGGGUAGUCCACGCCGUAAAACGAUGAGUGCUAAGUGUUAGAGGGUUUUCCGCCCUUUAGUGCUGCAGCUAACGCAUUAAGCACUCCGCCUGGGGAGUACGGCCGCAAGGCUGAAACUCAAAGGAAUUGACGGGGGCCCGCACAAGCGGUGGAGCAUGUGGUUUAAUUCGAAGCAACGCGAAGAACCUUACCAGGUCUUGACAUCCUCUGCCAACCCUAGAGAUAGGGCGUUCCCCUUCGGGGGACAGAGUGACAGGUGGUGCAUGGUUGUCGUCAGCUCGUGUCGUGAGAUGUUGGGUUAAGUCCCGCAACGAGCGCAACCCUUGAUCUUAGUUGCCAGCAUUCAGUUGGGCACUCUAAGGUGACUGCCGGUGACAAACCGGAGGAAGGUGGGGAUGACGUCAAAUCAUCAUGCUCCUUAUGACCUGGGCUACACACGUGCUACAAUGGAUGGUACAAAGAGCUGCGAACCCGCGAGGGUAAGCCAAUCUCAUAAAGCCAUUCUCAGUUCGGAUUGU